GCGGAACCCCGUCAGGAAAAGCGCACAAAACUGCUCUUAAGUCAUUGCAGAGCUACCGCUUCGGUUAGCCAGCCACGAAGUUCUCGCGAGAGUCGUCUCCUCGAUACCAAGCGCCUGUGUCUGGCAGAGCUGGUGUGAGACGAGACAAUCCUGCCCCGCCGCCGGGAUAAUCAAGAGUUUUGGCCGGACCUUUGAGCAUACACCGAGAGAGUGAGGAGCCAGACGACAAGCACACACUAUGGCGCUGAAACGGAUUAAUAAGGAACUUAGUGAUUUGGCCCGUGACCCUCCAGCACAAUGUUCUGCAGGUCCAGUUGGGGAUGAUAUGUUUCAUUGGCAAGCCACAAUUAUGGGACCUAUAAGCAACUAUAUGCUGGAUAAUUGAAUAUUCAGAAUUAUGGAUACCAUCUAAGAAUUUC
rnacentral:lncRNA from 1 species